UCAUCUUCAGUUAGCGUGGCUCAGCGUCCAGAUCAGCGUCUGCGGACACCCCUCACCACAGUGGCUGCCCUGGAGCUCUGAGAGCCAGGCUUGUGAAAAUGGAACAGAAAAGGCCACUGGCUUCAGCUUGGUCCUCUGCCGCCACCUGUGUGCUGGAAGCAGCCACCGCACCGGACUGGAAAGCGCCUUGCUCUAGGGCCCUGGAUGCAAGGUGGGAUUGAGUUUCAUUACAUCACCAGAGAAAAAUUAAAAAGUGACAUAGAAGAGCCACAGACUGACAAGCCUCAGAGUGCCUGUGGGAACAUGGCAACUAGCCACAAGCUGGAAAGUCUGCCGCAUUCUGAAGGGCUGCACUCACCUGCAUGGGAGUCACUUGGCCAUGCUCUGGCCAUAUGCAAUCAUGC
rnacentral:lncRNA from 1 species